GCCCGGGUGGUGUAGUAGGGCCAGCAUACCAUGACAUGAUCGUGGAGGUUCCUUGGUUCGAAUCCUUGGCUGGGCA
rnacentral:tRNA from 1 species